UCUUGCCCUGGACCCUUCCUCAGAAUGGUCUCGGUUUCUGCCUCCUGAGGGCAUGCUCACAGGAACAGCUGCCAAGACCAGAGCACCUACUCUGUGCCGUGGGCUGACUGUGUGCCUCACAGACCUCGUCUCCAUGCCACUGGGAGCAGAUAUUUCUGUGCCCAUCAUAGACACAUGUACUCGGGCUUAGAAACUGGGACGUGCAUCACAGUAAGUCUCAGACAACUGCAGGAGCUGGAAAUUGGCCCAGGCUCAUGACAGGGAGGGGCAUCUUACCCCAGGAUGGAGGCCUGUUCCCGGCACAGCAGAGUGAACCCCAGGACCAGUGUGGAGACACAGAGGCCUAAGGCUGGUCCCACAUCACCCCUGGCAGAGGGACAAUAGGGGGAGAAGAUGAUGGAGGCCUGAAGCAGGGAGAAGAUGAUGGAGGCCUGAAGCAGGGAUGUAAGGAGCGCUCCAGUCAAGGAUGGGAGAAGCCAAAAAGAACAAGGCAGCCUUUCUGGAACAAGAACUGGCUGCAAACUGAAGCAGACCUGCCUCAGCCAUGCAGGCUGUCUGGGGGCACAGGCCCGCCACUCUGGGUCUGAUGCUCACCUGCUGACUCCUGCACUUGGAAAUUCUCUGCCAGUCCCUUGAGGAGCAGAGACCUGGAAGCCCUGGCCCCGGCUUCCGGCCAGCAGCAUUUCCCCAGUGAAGCCCACUCCCCGACAGCCGUCUCCUCGCCUUACUCAGCACCUCCACUCUGCUGACCAUUAGGAUGACCUCAGAGCUGUGUCAGAGAGGGAGAGAUCCUUCAACACCCCACACCCACCUGCCUUCCUGCGCCUGUGUACACCUGUGCAUAGAGGUCAAGUCUGCACACCUGGAUUCUCAUUUCGGCUCUGCCAUCACGGGAGCUACAGAGCCUUGAGCAAGCAAACCCGCUGGUGACUCGGUUACUCCAGGGAGCUCAAGUAGCCUGCCUUCGAGUACAUUUGCAUAGGCUUCUCAACUGGCUCUUUGGAGAUAAAUGACAUGUUUCUGGGAGCAGAGGAGAACAGCAAUGUGGGAAGAGAAAAGAAACUUAA